CCGCAUUCUCAGGGCAGGGUGAAAUUCCCUACCGGUGGUAAAGCCCACGAGCGCUUAAAAGUGCGGUCAAUUUUCUCAUAAAUUUUUUCGCUUUUAAGGUUAGCAGAUUUGGUGAAAUUCCAAAGCCGACAGUAAAGUCUGGAUGAAAGAGAAUAAAA
rnacentral:ncRNA from 1 species